rnacentral:rRNA from 1 species
GACGAACGCUGGUGGCGUGCUUAACACAUGCAAGUCGAGCGGAAAGGCCCUGCUUUUGUGGGGUGCUCGAGUGGCGAACGGGUGAGUAACACGUGAGUAACCUGCCCUUGACUUUGGGAUAACUUCAGGAAACUGGGGCUAAUACCGGAUAGGAGCUCCUGCUGCAUGGUGGGGGUUGGAAAGUUUCGGCGGUUGGGGAUGGACUCGCGGCUUAUCAGCUUGUUGGUGGGGUAGUGGCUUACCAAGGCUUUGACGGGUAGCCGGCCUGAGAGGGUGACCGGCCACAUUGGGACUGAGAUACGGCCCAGACUCCUACGGGAGGCAGCAGUGGGGAAUAUUGCACAAUGGGCGGAAGCCUGAUGCAGCAACGCCGCGUGCGGGAUGACGGCCUUCGGGUUGUAAACCGCUUUCGCCUGUGACGAAGCGUGAGUGACGGUAAUGGGUAAAGAAGCACCGGCUAACUACGUG